UGAAGUGUGUGUAGUGUCACAUUCCCAUUGCACUGUGUUUGCUAGAGCAGGUGUAGCCUUAGAUACCUCAAGUUUGGAAAGGCUCACUGCAGAGGUCUAAGAGGAGUUAAUAGAUGGUCCUGAAACACCUCACUGCUAUUUGCAGCUAUUCCAUUUGUUCAUUUGUGGUAAGAGUGGUAAGAGAAUGCUGAAGUCAAUUGAAAGUCUGUUGUGAUCUCAGUGGCUUGUGGCACAGGUCUGAAGUCUUUCACCAAAUGACAAAGGAAGACUGUUUUCAGGUCCUUCUUCAUCUUGCAAUGCCAUCUUUAACUAGAAAACAGCUUUGAAGGUUUCACUGAAGAUAUCUUGACCAAAGAUGGUGAAAGACACUGUAAUGAUCUCUAAAUCCCUUCCUAUUCACUUUGCCAAUGGCAUUUACAAGAAGACAAGAGACUGCAUACUGCUUUAUUAUAUUGCCAAUAAUGCACCAUGAAGAUCCUGGUAAGGGAGAGCUUAAAAAUGGCUUGACUGCUCUUACUCAGAUCAGCUGCUUUCAGGAGUGGACUAGUGACAAAGUCACUGAAUAAACUAAGCACAGCUCAGGACUGUUUCCACAAUGUAGGAAAAAGACAAGUAAUAUAAGAGUGUUUUAGUCAUUUAGUAAUUUAUUUGGAAUAUGUGCCCAAAUCUUGUGGAUUUAAAACAUUCCUUUCUCUUACAUUUAUUUUAUACAGAAAUUGUGCUGUGACUAGUGAGGUCCUGUCAAGAACAUGAAAUUAAUUCAUUGCUUGGAUUUAAAUCAGCACUUAAUAAAGAAGAUUUAAAUCUA